rnacentral:pre_miRNA from 1 species
CAUCUUCCAGUACAGUGUUGGAUGGUCUAAUAGCGAAGCUCCUAACACUGUCUGGUAAAGAUGGC